UGAGGAAUAUUGGUCAAUGGGUGCAAGCCUGAACCAGCCAUCCCGCGUGAAGGACGACUGCCCUAUGGGUUGUAAACUUCUUUUGUAUAGGGAUAAACCUACCCUCGUGAGGGUAGCUGACGGUACUAUACGAAUAAGCACCGGCUAACUCCGUGCCAGCAGCCGCGGUAAUACGGAGGGUGCAAGCGUUAUCCGGAUUUAUUGGGUUUAAAGGGUCCGUAGGAGGACUUAUAAGUCAGUGGUGAAAGCCUGUCGCUUAACGAUAGAACUGCCAUUGAUACUGUAAGUCUUGAGUAUAUUUGAGGUAGCUGGAAUAAGUAGUGUAGCGGUGAAAUGCAUAGAUAUUACUUAGAACACCAAUUGCGAAGGCAGGUUACCAAGAUAUAACGGACGCUG
rnacentral:rRNA from 1 species